GGUCCUAUAGCUCAGUUGGUUAGAGCAUGGUGCUAACAACUCCAAGGCCGUGAGUUCGACCCUCAUUCGCACCA
rfam:Paracoccidioides sp. &apos;lutzii&apos; Pb01 unplaced genomic scaffold supercont2.8, whole genome shotgun sequence.